rnacentral:rRNA from 1 species
UUUUUCCUACGGGGGGCAGCAGUGGGGAAUAUUGCACAAUGGGGGAAACCCUGAUGCAGCGACGCCGCGUGAGUGAAGAAGCGUUUCGGCGCGUAAAGCUCUGUCAGCGGGGAAGAAACACGGUUCGCGAGAGCCGCGGACGGUACCCGACCAAGAAGCCCCGGCUAACUACGUGCCAGCAGCCGCGGGAAUAAGUAGGGGGCAAGCGAUAUCCGGAUUCACUGGGGGUAAAGGGAGCGUAGACG